rnacentral:rRNA from 1 species
GGGCUUGACAUCCCACGAACCUGCCUGAAAGGGCGGGGUGCCCGCAAGGGAGCGUGGAGACAGGUGGUGCAUGGCUGUCGUCAGCUCGUGUCGUGAGAUGUUGGGUUAAGUCCCGCAACGAGCGCAACCCUCACCCCUAGUUGCCACCGGGUAACACCGAGCACUCGAGGGGAACUGCCAGCGUCAAGCUGGAGGAAGGCGGGGAUGACGUCAAGUCAUCAUGCCCCUUACGCCCUGGGCUACACACGUGCUACAAUGGCCGGUACAAAGGGACGCGAGACCGCGAGGUGGAGCUAAUCCCAAAAAACCGGUCUAAGUUCAGAUUGCAGUCUGCAACUCGACUGCAUGAAGGAGGAAUCGCUAGUAAUCGCGCAUCAGCACGGCGCGGUGAAUACGUUCCCGGGCCUUGUACACACCGCCCGUCACACCACGAAAGCUGUCUGUACUCGAAGUCGCUGAGA